rnacentral:tRNA from 1 species
GGGGCUGUGGCUCAGUAGCAGAGCAUCUGCUUGGCAUGCAGAAGGUUCCUGGUUCAAUUCACGACAUUUCCA